GCCCUCUCGUAGCUCACACUGCUGUGGGAGAGAGGGAUAGGGCAUAUAACAUGUUGUAAUAUUUGCAAAUAGGCCCUCCCACUUUCUAUCCAGUGCACUGCCCAAACUGGGCAAUUUUUUCGUGCUGAGAGACCGGUCUCUCCCUACCUGGGACUGGUCCCCGAGAGCUUCUCCCGCGGUUUGCGCAACCUAUGCACGAGGCAACCGGUCUCCCCUGAUGGGACCGGUCUUUUGGGGACCGGUCUCUCCCCGCAGGGACCGGUUCCCGAGAGCUGUCCACCAGGGACUUAGCCGAUUUUUCCUCCCUUUCGCUGUCUGCGCGUUCGGGGACCGGUCUCUCCAACCAGGGACCGGUCCCCGAGAGCCAAAAACCUGCAGUUUGCAGAUUUUCAAUUCCAAAGCUCUCGAAGAUCCCCAAUGACGCACUUUUACUCCUUUUCG
rnacentral:lncRNA from 1 species